rnacentral:snRNA from 1 species
GGGCUAGUUCUGGCAGUGCAGUUAUUAAAAUUGGAAUGAUACAGAGAUUAGCAUGGCCUCUGUAUAAAGAUGACAGCAAAUCUGUGAAGUGUUCAACAUUUUU